rnacentral:rRNA from 1 species
GAUGAACGCUGGCGGCGUGCUUAACACAUGCAAGUCGAGGGGAAAGGCCCUUCAGGGUUCCCUAGCGGCGAACGGGUGAGUAAAACGUGGAUAAACUGCCCAUCACUUCGGGAUAACUCCGGGAAAACGGUGCUAAUACCGGAUAUGACCACUUAAGGCAUCUGAUGGUGGUAGAAAGUUAAGGCGGAGAUGGACUAGCUCGCUGGCUGUCUGCGGGUCGGUGAGGUAUGGGGCCACUAAGGCUUCGCCGGGUAGCCGGCCUGAGAGGGUGACCGGCCACACGGGCACUGAGACACGGCCCGCACUCGUGAGGAAGGCUGCAGUGGGGAAGAGUGGAUGAUGGGCGAAAGCCUGAUCCAGCAACACCGCGUGAGGGAUGAUAGCCUGCGUGUAUGAAACGUCUUUCAGCGGGAACGAAGCUCAAGUGACGGUACCUGCAGAAGAAGCACCGGCUAACUACGUG